rnacentral:rRNA from 1 species
GCAUAUCAAUAAGCGGAGGAAAAGAAACCAACAGGGAUUGCCUCAGUAACGGCGAGUGAAGCGGCAAAAGCUCAAAUUUGAAAUCCCCCGGGAAUUGUAAUUUGAAGGACCUAUUAAAACCCUGAGAGAGCCCAAAGUCCAUUGGAAAAUGGCGCCAUAGAAGGUGAUAGCCCUGUGUGGACCUCUCUCAGCAUACUUUUUAGGCCCAAAGAGUCGAGUUGUUUGGGAAUGCAGCUCUAAGUGGGUGGUAAAUUCCAUCUAAAGCUAAAUAUUGGCGAGAGACCGAUAGCGAACAAGUACAGUGAUGGAAAGAUGAAAAGCACUUUGAAAAGAGAGUGAAAAAGUACGUGAAAUUGUUGAAAGGGAAGGGCUUGCAAGCAGACACAACCUCGGUUGGGCCAGCAUCGGGGCGGGGGGAAACAAAAAAGGUGUGGAAUGUGGCUCUUACGAGUGUUAUAGCCCCACCCAAUAUUUCCAUCCCAUCCCGAGGCCUGCGAUUCUUCAAG